UCGAACGAGAAAGCGGGGGCAACUCCGUGAGUAAAGUGGCGACCGGGUGAGUAACACGUGACUAACCUACCCUCUGGUGGGGAAUAACCUCGGGAAACCGGGGCUAAUACCGCAUAACAUCCGCGGGUGCAACUCCUGCGGAUCAAAGGAGCAAUUCGCCGGAGGAGGGGGUCGCGGCUGAUUAGCUAGUUGGCGGGGUGAACGGCCCACCAAGGCGAUGAUCAGUAGCCGGCCUGAGAGGGCGCACGGCCACACUGGAACUGAAACACGGUCCAGACUCCUACGGGGGGCAGCAGUGGGGAAUUUUGCGCAAUGGGGGAAACCCUGACGCAGCAACGCCGCGUGGAGGAUGAAGUCCCUUGGGACGUAAACUCCUUUCGACCGGGACGAAUAAUGACGGUUCCGGUGGAAGAACCUCCGGCUAUCAUAGUGCCCGCAUCCCCGGUUAUA
rnacentral:rRNA from 1 species